UCGCUGUCGCCGCUAGGUCCGUCCUCCGGUCGCCGUCGCUCCAGGGUGGGGCGCCGCCCAAGCCGUUGCGGCCUCGCGCCUGCCCUCCGCUUCUCUGCCUCCCUAAACCGAGGCCCGCUGCCGCCGCUCGUUUCCUCAGGUCUCCCGUGGAGGCGAGCUUCUGCGUGGAGUCGCUCAUGCCGAUGCGACGGCCUCGGCUCUGAUGACCUCGAUCCUCAAUGUUUCGCUCGGGGGAUACGGGUGGCUGUCCCAAGCUGGCAAUGAGGAUGUAUGAUGGUGAUAUAUCAGGUGGAUUCAGCCAGAUGCAUAGACAAAGACACUUGAUAUAUUAUCCUCGUUCAUGCUCCCUUGAUUUGUUGAAGCUUUAUGGGACCUACCUUUUCUAGGAUCCGCUAGGUGCACAUAGGAAAGGGGAAAUGUCAUGACAUGUUCUGCUAAUAUUAUAAAUUUGCUUGUGUCACUCUGGUUUGUUAGCUGAUAUAUAUGUUUCAAUAAUUUUAAGUUUGUAAAAGGUUUUAUUAUUCCUCCUCUCA